rnacentral:rRNA from 1 species
ACGGAAGGCAGCAGUGGGGAAUAUUGGGCAAUGGGCGCAAGCCUGACCCAGCGACGCCGCGUGAGGGAAGAAGGUCUUCGGAUUGUAAACCUCUUUCAGCAGGGAAGACCAAGAGACGGUACCUGCAGAAGAAGUCACGGCUAACUACGUGCCAGCAGCCGCGGUAAUGCGUAGGUGGCGAGCGUUAUCCGGAAUUACUGGGUGUAAAGGGUGUGUAGGCGGAGAGGCAAGUCAGGCGUGAAAUACGUGGGCUCAACCCACGAACUGCGCUUGAAACUGUUUCCCUUGAGAGUGGGAGAGGUAAACGGAAUUCCUGGUGUAGUAGUGAAAUGCGUAGAUAUUAGGAGGAACACCAGUGGCGAAGGCGGCUUACUGGACGAUAACUGACGCUGAGGCUCGAAAGCGUGGGGAGCAAACAGGAUUAGAUACCCUGGUA